GAUGAACGCUGGCGGCGUGCCUAAUACAUGCAAGUCGAGCGAACGGACGAGAAGCUUGCUUCUCUGAUGUUAGCGGCGGACGGGUGAGUAACACGUGGAUAACCUACCUAUAAGACUGGGAUAACUUCGGGAAACCGGAGCUAAUACCGGAUAAUAUUUUGAACCGCAUGGUUCAAAAGUGAAAGACGGUCUUGCUGUCACUUAUAGAUGGAUCCGCGCUGCAUUAGCUAGUUGGUAAGGUAACGGCUUACCAAGGCAACGAUGCAUAGCCGACCUGAGAGGGUGAUCGGCCACACUGGAACUGAGACACGGUCCAGACUCCUACGGGAGGCAGCAGUAGGGAAUCUUCCGCAAUGGGCGAAAGCCUGACGGAGCAACUCCGCGUGAGUGAUGAAGGUCUUCGGAUCGUAAAACUCUGUUAUUGGGGAAGAACAUAUGUGUAAGUAACUGUGCACAUCUUGACGGUACCUAAUCAGAAAGCCACGGCUAACUACGUG
rnacentral:rRNA from 1 species